CCUACGGGUGGCAGCAGUGAGGAAUAUUGGUCAAUGGGCUUACGCCUGAACCAGCCAAGUCGCGUGAGGGAAGACUGCCCUAUGGGUUGUAAACCUCUUUUGUCAGGGAGCAACGCCGGCUACGUGUAGGGCUUUGCAUGUACCGUAUGAAUAAGGACCGGCUAAUUCCGUGCCAGCAGCCGCGGUAAUACGGAAGGUCCGGGCGUUAUCCGGAUUUAUUGGGUUUAAAGGGAGCGUAGGCCGCAUGUCAAGCGUGCUGUGAAAUGUCCGGGCUCAACCCGGGCCUUGCAGCGCGAACUGGCGUGCUUGAGUCCGCGGAAAGCAGGCGGAAUUCGUCGUGUAGCGGUGAAAUGCUUAGAUAUGACGAAGAACCCCGAUUGCGAAGGCAGCUUGCUGCAGCGGAACUGACGCUGAUGCUCGAAAGCGCGGGUAUCGAACAGGAUUAGAUACCCGUAGUC
rnacentral:rRNA from 1 species